rnacentral:rRNA from 1 species
CGCGCAGGCGGUCGUUCAAGUCGCGUGUGAAAGCCCCCGGCUCAACUGGGGAGGGUCACGCGAUACUGUUCGACUUGAAGGCAGGAGAGGGAAGUGGAAUUCCCGGUGUAGUGGUGAAAUGCGUAGAUAUCGGGAGGAACACCAGUGGCGAAGGCGACUUCCUGGCCUGUUCUUGACGCUGAGGCGCGAAAGCUAGGGUAGCAAACG